AUUUUAAGGCUUUUCGCUAUUUUUCAAGUCUCAAGAACGAGGGAGACAAUUUUUCUGAGCUUUUAGCUGAUGAGGGAUGAAGGUGAUCGUUGUUUGACGUUCAAAUUUCCUUCUUACUUCAAGAAAACCGUGUUCGUUCGUUCGUUCGUUUGUUUGUUUGUUCGUUCGUUCCUCCAAUUCCAUUUCUGAUCCGUGGAAAGCGAGACAAAUUGCAUUUUCAGUCGCGUUUGUUCACCUCUUCCUCAAUUCCGGUGUAGAAAGUGGAUAGUGCAAACUUGAAGAGCUCAUCCUUCCAUAAACUCCACCUUCGACAUGGAUCCAAAAGUUGAGCAGACAGUGCAACUGGUGGAAUCGGUCUCUGAUAAGCAUCCUGAUCUUUUGAGGCCAUCUGCCCGGAUUUGUUCCAUAUUCAAAGGCCAAGAAAAAGAUGUGUCUGACCAUACAAAGAACAAGUAUACUCUUCUCAAAGAUGUCGAGGAUUUGCAAAUAGGUCUAUAUGACAAGCCUCUUCCGUGUUUUGGCUGUGGUGUUGGAUGGUUCUCUUUCCUUCUCGGGUUUUUGUUCCCAAUAAUGUGGUACUAUGCCACAAUUCUCUACUUCUGGAACGUCCGCAGAGAUCCCAGGGAACGAGCUGGUUUAGCUGCGUCUGCCAUUGCUGCAUUUGCAUGUUCGGUCAUCUUGUUAGUCAUCGUAGCUGUUCUCCUAUUAUAGCCCUCCCCUGUCUCUCGACUCGCACUGCAUUCUCUUUGCCCCUUCAACCUUGGCAAUACAGUCCCAAACAGAACAGCUUCCGUGGCUAUGAAGAUAAAGAUCAAGGGGCUCUGUUGCGGGACAAUGAACUGAUUUUUCCUGGAGAUCUACUACUUGAAGCCAGAUCAUCAAAGGUGGAUUUGAACUAUGGUAUGCAUGCAACCUAAUACAAUAGCUUUACAGAUUUCAAAAACAAGGCAACCUCACAUUGAAUGGAAUGAGCAUAAAACAGUUCCAAAACUAUGCAGUUCAUCCUUCUCUUUUGAAAUUAACAACAAUACAAUGACAUACCAU